GAUGAACGCUAGCAACAGGCUUAACACAUGCAAGUCGAGGGGCAGCACGGGAGUAGCAAUACAACUGGUGGCGACCGGCGCACGGGUGAGUAACGCGUAUGCAACCUACCUAUCAGAGGGGAAUAACCCGGCGAAAGUCGGACUAAUACCGCAUAAAACAGGGGCACCGCAUGGUGAUAUUUGUUAAAGAAAUUCGCUGAUAGAUGGGCAUGCGUUCCAUUAGGUAGUUGGUGAGGUAACGGCUCACCAAGCCGACGAUGGAUAGGGGAACUGAGAGGUUGGUCCCCCACACUGGUACUGAGACACGGACCAGACUCCUACGGGAGGCAGCAGUGAGGAAUAUUGGUCAAUGGGCGGGAGCCUGAACCAGCCAAGUCGCGUGAAGGAAGAAGGAUCUAUGGUUCGUAAACUUCUUUUGCAGGGGAAUAAAGUGCAGGACGUGUCCUGUUUUGUAUGUACCCUGAGAAUAAGGAUCGGCUAACUCCGUGCCAGCCGCCGCUGUAA
rnacentral:rRNA from 1 species